CUUGGCAACAUCGUUUCUGUGAAGAGGAGGGCAGCGACUUCCUGAGACCUGCCGUUGAAGAAGCUCAACUUCCCUAAUGUUACCAGAUCAGCAGAGAACUCUUCAAAGUCCAGACGCCUGUUCGUGCAUGUAGCCACGUGUUUGCAGAUCCAGUACUGCCUUUCCUACCCUGAGCUUCUUCAUCAAAAGGAUGUUAAGAUGAUUCACUGGAAUUAUCAGACUUGACAGUUUCUGAAGGAGAUGAGCUCCUAGCCAUCCCUCCUUCCUCUGGGAGAGUCCCAGACAAUUUCUACCUUCAGUUAUUUUCUUCUACUACAAUGGAAUGUUGGUCUGUCUUGUGGAAUCCGAAAGAAAGGUGGA